GCUACUAAUAUGGAAAUUGAUUAUAUAGAUUACUAGGGGCCCGUCCCGGCUUGGCUCGGUUUAAAACAUAAUAAAUUAUAUACCUAAACCUUACUCAGGAACCACACUAUCUAUUGGUGAAAACCGCAUGAAAAUGCGUGCAGUAUUUUUUGAGUUUAUCGCGAACAGACAGACGCGGCAGAAGACGUUGUUUUAUAAUAUGUAAGGAUACAGAUUUCGAAAUGCGACUGUUGGUCAUUGUCGAGGACAGUGGUUAUUACAUCGGCCCUUGACAGGGAAAAUUCAUAUAACGUCCUGACCGACAAUUAGAUUAUUUAUUUUAUUCGAAAUCUCGAGCUCCAUUACAACCACAUCACCGCGUUUAACAUUGCAGCGAAGCGUACUGGAAGUGUAGUAGAAACAUUGCGCGAGUGACGUCACAGGCGCUCCAGCCAAAGCCGUUCACCAGUUCCGAAACACAGGGACGCACUCUGGCUGGCAACUGGCUGGAAAUUCCAGAAUUAAUAUACAUUAUUAUUUUGUCUUUUUUGUUCAAUGUCGAACGCUAAUGAGAAUUGUUCGUUGUUGCUUAUUAACCUGAGCUAAAAUAGAAAUAAAGAAAAAUGAAUGUAAAAAAGCCGAAGGUCAGCCUCUGCCGAGCCCACAAUACGCAACACUUUUGGCAACAAAGGGAUUUCAAUGAGAAAAAAAUGUAAAUACAUACAAAGUAUCCCCCGUCGAGCAUACCAACCCGACGGGCAAUUAAUCACAGACGUCGUCGUUGCACCGAAAAAUAGAAAUUUUAACGUCACAUUUAACGAACAUUGAACAAAUAAUUGUAUAUCAAGCUUUGUCUCAGAGAAUUUCCUCAGUUGCUUAUAACCGGCCACGCUGACACGAUGACUUCGGAAGGAGCCAACCUCGCCACCACGUACGGCAUUCUCUUGCUGCUUCUAGUCGCCUUAUGGCUGCUGUACUCUACUGCCUUCUAAAUCAUGAUAUCAAGAUUUAUAUCAACAUGUGGUACCAAUGGGAGAAACAGGAGCUGAAAUUUAACUAAUUAAGAAACCGUAAUUUUAGUGUUAAGUUAACGUUAAGCCAGUUUAAACCCAAGCAUUUAAGUAAUUACGAUCAAAAUGGAACCGGAGGUCCCCGGGCUGCAGAAGGAGAAAGGUGCUGGGCAUUCCAAUAAAUUAAUCUCUAAAAAUAAGACGAAAGACAAACGUGACACCAUUUUUUGUGAAUAUUUCGAGAGAUCUAGCAAGUUAUGUUGCUGAUAGAAAAUCAUCAGGAAUUUUAUCAUUGUUAAGAAUAAGAGAUUUUAAUAAAAGUUUUUUU